GGCUACGUGCCGCCGCCGCAGACGUACCCGCCGCCGUACGCGCAGCCUCCGCCGCCGCCGCCGCACCGGCACGAGGGCCCCUCCUUCGCCCAAGCAUGUCUGGCGGCCUGCUGUUGCUGCUGCCUCAUGGACGCAUGCUUCUAGCAAGGAGCGCAAUCACCAAAUGCAGCAAGAGAGGACGGCAGCCUCAGGUUGCUGUGAAUAAACUGUGACAUCUAGGUAGUUAAUUAGGGGGAUAUGUGCGGGUUUUAGUAGUAAGAUUUUUGUGGUUACAGGUAAUAAAGUACUUUCAGCUGACUGUUGUAUCCGUAGAUAGAAAUAAAAUAAGUAUUUUCGAAAGCA